rnacentral:rRNA from 1 species
AGAAGAGACCCUCGAUUUCUGUCUGAAGAUUGUAGUCUGAGUGAAAAUAUAAAUUAUUUAAAACUUUCAACAACGGAUCUCUUGGUUCCGGCAUCGAUGAAGAACGCAGCGAAAUGCGAUACGUAAUGUGAAUUGCAAAUUCAGUGAAUCAUCGAGUCUUUGAACGCACAUUGCGCCCCCUGGUAUUCCGGGGGGCAUGCCUGUCCGAGCGUCAUUGCUGCCCUCAAGCACGGCUUGUGUGUUGGGCCCCGUCCUCCGAUCCCGGGGGACGGGCCCGAAAGGCAGCGGCGGCACCGCGUCCGGUCCUCGAGCGUAUGGGGCUUUGUCACCCGCUCUGUAGGCCCGGCCGGCGCUUGCCGAUCAACCCAAAUUUUUAUCCAGGUUGACCUCGGAUCAGGUAGGGAUACCCGCUGAACUUAAGCAUAUCAAUAAGCGGAGGA